GACGAACGCUGGCGGCGUGCCUAAUACAUGCAAGUCGAACGCAGUGGGGACGGGUGAGUAACACGUGGGUAACCUCCCAUCAGAGGGGAUAACACUUGGAAACAGGUGCUAAACCGAUACUGAUGGAUGGACCCGGGGUGCAUGAGCUAGUUGGUGAGGUAACGGCUCACCAAGGCCACGAUCCAUAGCCGGCCUGAGAGGAGGAUCGGCCACACUGGGACUGAGACACGGCCCAGACUCCUACGGGAGGCAGCAGUGGGGAAUCUUGGGCAAUGGGCGAAAGUCUGACCGAGCAACGCCGCGUGUGUGAAGAAGGUUUUCGGGUCGUAAAGCUCUGUUAGUAGAGAGGCGGUAUCUAACGAGGAAGCAACGGCUAACUACGUGCCAGCAGCCGCGGUAAUUC
rnacentral:rRNA from 1 species